rnacentral:lncRNA from 1 species
CUCCUGCAUUGCACUGGCUUCAACCAGUCUCUGUUUGAUAGCUUGCAUGUCCUGAGCUGUCAGUCGAGCUAACCGAACUCCAGCCAGUUUCAGCAGGGGAGAGUGAUGCUCAGCUUUCCCCAAGAUGUAACGCAGUUGUUGUGUAAGAAACCAGCCUUCCCAGGCCAUGUUAACAAAAGGGUAGGCCGCCAGAAAGGCUCUGUAGAAUCGUUUCCAGCGAGAAGAAGGGGGGUGAAUAGAGUAUUCGUCUUCUUCUCUCAAGCUAGAAGCCAGCUUCUCUAGCUUCACUUUCAGAUAGGGAAGAAGGACAAGGAACAUGGCAGAUUUCCAGAGGUGUUCCUUGGGAAGACCAGCACUGGCCGGUCUCUGAAGAUGCGGCGAGCUCCCUGCCACAAUCCGCUUUAAGCCAUAAAAGUGUUCAGAAAAUGAGGCACUAGUUCUAGAAAGAUAAUGCUGCUGGAGCAGGAAGUCUAGCAGAGUGAAGAUUUCAUCAAACCACCGCCAGAGGAAGCCAUAGUGCGCAGGAUUUGAUUCUGCAAGAACCUGAUGCAAAAACAUUUUAUUACAGUCUUCAGUUUGUAUUCACAUCAGCCUUUUCCUUUUAAAUUCAAUACACCUGGCUUAAGUAAUUGGCUUUUGGGGUAUAGUCUGAGUUCCUGAGGUCAUAGGAAUGGAGUACAGAGCUCUUUGAAUGGAUGCCCAUUAAGUCCUGGAUACAAAUGACACAUGGCGAUCAUUGCAAACUUAGGGUUACUAGUAAAAUGUUUGGAGUUUUAUCCAGUCGUCCCUGAAACGAUUCAGAGAAGUAAUACCUUACCUUGACCACAUGCUGAAGAGCGGGUCUCACUGCUGUCAUUAAACUGUCCUGUGCUACCACCUCAAAGAUGGAUGGCUGGUCGUCCGCCACUGAAGCAGUUGUGAUGUGAGCCCCAUACUCAGCCAUUGUGUCUUGUGUGAACUGGGAUUCACUUUUCCCACGAACACUCUAGGCAGAGCGUGACUCGGAGGCGGGGAGUGGGCCAAGAAACGUGUCGCUCGAACCGCAGUCCGGGAGCUGCGAGGCCCGGCUCCGGCGGCUGCCUGAGAAGCGCCCGUCCUUGCUUGCUGACCUCGGGCACGGAGCAGAGGACCCGUGACGCCACCUGCGAAAGGAGGUCUCGGCUUUGUGACCGAAACCGUACCCGGAAACAGAAGCUCCGAGGACCUCCACACGGCGGGCGGAAGACAGGCGCUCUAGCAUCGAAUGUAGCCCUGAGCCGGAACUCGGGAACUCUAUGACCAACUGGGACUUCCGUUUCCGCCCCCCUGACGACGAGGCGACGGGUUAGUGCAGUGAGUGCAUUCUGUUCCUGGUUAGCUCUGAGCGAAGCUUCCUGGAGGGCGGUACUCGAGCCUCUGUGCCGAGCUGGGGUCCCUGCCUGACGCCGGUUGCCAUGGGAGAUCAAGCCAGGUCCUUUCUGCCAGGUGGUGCUUAGCUCAAAGUCGGCCACCUUCCCGAGUGUUAGUCAGUUAUCAGCAAGUUUUACUAAAAUGACAAAAGAUUCAUUCUUGCCUACCAGAAUUUAGGACGGCUACUUUUUUACUUACUUACAGACAGCUUAACUUGUCAUCCAUGUGUAAAAUUAAGUUAUAGCUCUAGGCACAUUCUGCUAGAUGAAAUUGAUUCCUGCCCUCCAGCUCAGUAGGUAUUAGCAGUAUUAGCAGCGCAGGGAUCGUUAUGAUUCUCGAACUGAAUAGUAGCAUUCAGCUCUAGAGGACCUUAGGGUAUAAAAGUGGGCAAUUGGUUUGUAUAAUGAGAACCUUAUAAAGG